UGUUUUUCUUGAUAUAGAAAAUGAAAUGAAAAAUCUUAUGGGCAGACAUGGUGAGAAUGAAACUCACUCAGAUCAUGCAUGACAGUAAUAUCCAUCACAGAGCGUUCAUGGCAGCAUUCAAAAGCUUCUGCUCAUAACCAAAAUCUAGCAAAACAGGCAGCCUAAUGUUGUACCUGUACCCUAAUUAUAUCUGUUCCUCACUGCCAGGCUGGGAGCAUCCUGUCAUCCUAAGGAAAUGCCAACCAUCAGGCAGUGGCACAGUGAGAGCACAAAUUACUCCACUGAUGUGAGGAUGGAGGGAAAACAGAUAAACGUCUGACUUAAACAGCAAGAUUUUUAAUCAGAAAGACUGCAGAGCUGAUGAAUAUUUCAUGGGUAGAAAAACACCUACAAUACAGGUUUUACCUACAAAAUCUUUGGGGAAAGGGAGAAAAUGGCAGGAAGGCACGUUCAAUCCUAAUGGAGUUCUCCCCUGGAUUUCAAGAACAUAUUUACACUCGCAAGUGGCAAAGGUGACAAAAAAAGCUUUAUUUCACUAAAAACUGUCCCCUUCCAGACUUUAAA
rnacentral:lncRNA from 1 species